rnacentral:rRNA from 1 species
UACGUAGGGGGCUAGCGUUGUCCGGAAUCAUUGGGCGUAAAGCGCGCGUAGGCGGCCUCAUAAGUCCGCUGUAAAAGUCAAAGGCUCAACCUUUGAACGCCGAUGGAUACUGUGAGGCUAGAGUCCGGAAGAGGCGAGUGGAACUCCUGGUGUAGCGGUGGAAUGCGCAGAUAUCAGGAAGAACACCAACGGCGAAGGCAGCUCGCUGGGACGGUACUGACGCUGAGGCGCGAAAGCGUGGGGAGCAAACAGG